rnacentral:sRNA from 1 species
CGUGGUCCGGAGUCGGUGGGUUAUCGUUGAAGAGUCCGAAAAGUCGGAAGCCCGAACGGGCAUCCCACCGACACAACUUGACCGC